UACGAAGGGUGCAAGCGUUACUCGGAAUUACUGGGCGUAAAGCGUGCGUAGGUGGUUCUUAAGUCUGAUGUGAAAGCCCUGGGCUCACCUGGGAAUGGCAUUGGAUACUGGCGACCUAGAGUGCGGUAGAGGGGUGUGGAAUUCCCGGUGUAGCAGUGAAAUGCGUAGAUAUCGGGAGGAACAUCUGUGGCGAAGGCGCACCCUGGACCAGCACUGACACUGAGGCACGAAAGCGUGGGGAGCAAACAGG
rnacentral:rRNA from 1 species